rnacentral:rRNA from 1 species
GAUGAACGCUGGCGGCGUGCCUAAUACAUGCAAGUCGAGCGAACAGACGAGGAGCUUGCUCCUUUGACGUUAGCGGCGGACGGGUGAGUAACACGUGGGUAACCUACCUAUAAGACUGGGAUAACUUCGGGAAACCGGAGCUAAUACCGGAUAAUAUUUCGAACCGCAUGGUUCGAUAGUGAAAGAUGGCUUUGCUAUCACUUAUAGAUGGACCUGCGCCGUAUUAGCUAGUUGGUAAGGUAACGGCUUACCAAGGCAACGAUACGUAGCCGACCUGAGAGAGUGAUCGGCCACACUGGAACUGAGACACGGUCCAGACUCCUCCGGGAGGCAGCGGUAGGGAAUCGUCCGCAAUGGGCGAAAGACUGACGGAGCAACGCCGCGUGAGUGAUGAAGGUCUUCGGAUCGUAAAACUCUGUUAUUAGGGAAGAACAAACGUGUAAGUAACUGUGCACGUCUUGACGGUACCUAAUCAGAAAGCCACGGCUAACUACGUG